AAUACGUAGGGGGCCAGCGUUGUCCGGAAUCAUUGGGCGUAAAGAGCGCGUAGGCGGCCAGAUAAGUCCGGUGUGAAAGUCAAAGGCUCAACCUUUGAAUGCCGCUGGAAACUGUCUGGCUCGAGUCCGGGAGGGGCGAGUGGAAUUCCUGGUGUAGCGGUGAAAUGCGCAGAUAUCAGGAGGAACACCAAUGGCGAAGGCAGCUCGCUGGAACGGAACUGACGCUGAGGCGCGAAAGCGUGGGGAGCGAACAG
rnacentral:rRNA from 1 species